UACGUAGGGUGCUAGCGUUAAUCGGAAUUACUGGGCGUAAAGCGUGCGCAGGCGGUUUUGUAAGACAGAUGUGAAAUCCCCGGGCUUAACCUGGGAACUGCAUUUGUGACUGCAAGACUAGAGUACGGCAGAGGGGGGUAGAAUUCCACGUGUAGCAGUGAAAUGCGUAGAUAUGUGGAGGAAUACCGAUGGCGAAGGCAGCCCCCUGGACUGACACUGACACUGAGGCACGAAAGCGUGGGGAGCAAACAGG
rnacentral:rRNA from 1 species